rnacentral:rRNA from 1 species
GAUGAACGCUGGCGGCAUGCUUAACACAUACAAGUCGGACGGGAAGUGAUGUUUCCAGUGGCGGUCGGGUGAGCAACGCGUAAGAACCUGCCCUUGGGAGGGGAACAACAGCUGGCAACGGGUGCUAAUACCCCGUAGGCUGAGGAGCAAAAGGGGGAAUCCGCGCGAGGAGGGGCGUGCGUCUGAUUAGCUAGUUGGUGAGGCAAUAGCUGACCAAAGAGAUGAUCAGUAGAUGGUGCGAGAGGAUGAUCAGCCACACUGGGACUGAGGCACGCAGCGGGGUCCAACGGGAGACGGGAGUAAGCAAGAUCCAGCAAUGCGGCAAAGGCUAAGAGGGCAUUGGCGCGGUGAGGUAGAAGGGUCGCGAGUGAAAAGCUGCAGUUCCAGGCGAAGAAGCAAUGACGGUACCUAAAGAAUAAGCACCGGCUAACUCCGUG